GGGGAUUAGCUCAGUUGGUUAGAGCGCUUGCUUCACACGCAAGAGGUCACUGGUUCGAGUCCAGUAUCUCC
rnacentral:tRNA from 1 species